AACGCACAUUGCGCCCCUUGGUAUUCCGGGGGGCAUGCCUGUUCGAGCGUCAUUAUAACCCUCAAGCCUAGCUUGGUGUUGGAGCAUGCUAUCUAGCAGCUCUUAAAAUCAGUGGCAGUGCCCUUCGGCUCUAAGCGUAGUAAGUUCUCUCGCUAUGGAAACCGGAUGGUACGCGCCAAAACCCCCAACUUUCUAUGGUUGACCUCGGAUCAGGUAGGGAUACCCGCUGAACUUAA
rnacentral:misc_RNA from 1 species